rnacentral:misc_RNA from 1 species
UUUUAUUUGAGUGCUCAGAUUUGAAAACACAGCUUCUCUCAACUCUAAACACACUGCCAAACUAAGCCUACAUUGAAGGAGAUAUUAAAAGAAGAAGAAUUAGACAAUGUAAUAUAUCAUGAUUAUUAAAAUAAAUACAAAUAAAAUUGAUUUUGAUGAGAGCCUUAUGAUGGGAAGGCAAUGGAGCAGGAGCUCAUUGCUUGUGGUUGUGGAGCUUAUGUUGCCCCCCACUCCUCAAAUUAGGCGAAAAUGACAAGGCUCCUCAAUAGGUUAUGAUAUUACUAAGCCAGGCUCUUAUCUAAGGCCCCACUGGAGUUGCCUUUAUACCCAUCUGAAAAAAAA